rnacentral:rRNA from 1 species
GGUUAAGUUAGAAAGGGCGCACGGUGGAUGCCUUGACACUAGGAGUCGAUGAAGGACGGGACUAACGCCGAUAUGCUUCGGGGAGCUGUAAGUAAGCUUUGAUCCGAAGAUUUCCGAAUGGGGAAACCCACCAUACGUAAUGGUAUGGUAUCCUUAUCUGAAUACAUAGGGUAAGGAAGACAGACCCAGGGAACUGAAACAUCUAAGUACCUGGAGGAAGAGAAAGCAAAUGCGAUUUCCUGAGUAGCGGCGAGCGAAACGGAACAUAGCCCAAACCAAGAGGCUUGCCUCUUGGGGUUGUAGGACAUUCUAUACGGAGUUACAAAGGAACGAGGUAGACGAAGCGACCUGGAAAGGUCCGUCGUAGAGGGUAACAACCCCGUAGUCGAAACUUCGUUCUCUCUUGAAUGUAUCCUGAGUACGGCGGAACACGUGAAAUUCCGUCGGAAUCUGGGAGGACCAUCUCCCAAGGCUAAAUACUCCCUAGUGAUCGAUAGUGAACCAGUACCGUGAGGGAAAGGUGAAAAGCACCCCGGAAGGGGAGUGAAAGAGAUCCUGAAACCGUGUGCCUACAAAUAGUCAGAGCCCGUUAAUGGGUGAUGGCGUGCCUUUUGUAGAAUGAACCGGCGAGUUACGAUCCCGUGCGAGGUUAAGCUGAAGAGGCGGAGCCGCAGCGAAAGCGAGUCUGAAUAGGGCGUUUAGUACGUGGUCGUAGACCCGAAACCAGGUGAUCUACCCAUGUCCAGGGUGAAGUUCAGGUAACGCUGAAUGGAGGCCCGAACCCACGCACGUUGAAAAGUGCGGGGAUGAGGUGUGGGUAGCGGAGAAAUUCCAAUCGAACCUGGAGAUAGCUGGUUCUCCCCGAAAUAGCUUUAGGGCUAGCCUUAAGUGUAAGAGUCUUGGAGGUAGAGCACUGAUUGGACUAGGGGUCCUCAUCGGAUUACCGAAUUCAGUCAAACUCCGAAUGCCAAUGACUUAUCCUUAGGAGUCAGACUGCGAGUGAUAAGAUCCGUAGUCAAAAGGGAAACAGCCCAGACCGCCAGCUAAGGUCCCAAAGUGUGUAUUAAGUGGAAAAGGAUGUGGAGUUGCUUAGACAACUAGGAUGUUGGCUUAGAAGCAGCCACCAUUUAAAGAGUGCGUAAUAGCUCACUAGUCGAGUGACUCUGCGCCGAAAAUGUACCGGGGCUAAAUACACCACCGAAGCUGCGGAUUGAUACCAAUGGUAUCAGUGGUAGGGGAGCGUUCUAAGGACAGUGAAGUCAGACCGGAAGGACUGGUGGAGUGCUUAGAAGUGAGAAUGCCGGUAUGAGUAGCGAAAGACGGGUGAGAAUCCCGUCCACCGAAUGCCUAAGGUUUCCUGAGGAAGGCUCGUCCGCUCAGGGUUAGUCAGGACCUAAGCCGAGGCCGACAGGCGUAGGCGAUGGACAACAGGUUGAUAUUCCUGUACCACCUCUUUAUCGUUUGAGCAAUGGAGGGACGCAGAAGGAUAGAAGAAGCGUGCGAUUGGUUGUGCACGUCCAAGCAGUUAGGCUGAUAAGUAGGCAAAUCCGCUUAUCGUGAAGGCUGAGCUGUGAUGGGGAAGCUCCUUAUGGAGCGAAGUCUUUGAUUCCCCGCUGCCAAGAAAAGCUUCUAGCGAGAUAAAAGGUGCCUGUACCGCAAACCGACACAGGUAGGCGAGGAGAGAAUCCUAAGGUGUGCGAGAGAACUCUGGUUAAGGAACUCGGCAAAAUGACCCCGUAACUUCGGGAGAAGGGGUGCUUUCUUAACGGAAAGCCGCAGUGAAUAGGCCCAAGCGACUGUUUAGCAAAAACACAGCUCUCUGCGAAGCCGUAAGGCGAAGUAUAGGGGGUGACACCUGCCCGGUGCUGGAAGGUUAAGGAGAGGGGUUAGCGUAAGCGAAGCUCUGAACUGAAGCCCCAGUAAACGGCGGCCGUAACUAUAACGGUCCUAAGGUAGCGAAAUUCCUUGUCGGGUAAGUUCCGACCCGCACGAAAGGUGUAACGAUUUGGGCACUGUCUCAACCAGAGACUCGGUGAAAUUAUAGUACCUGUGAAGAUGCAGGUUACCCGCGACAGGACGGAAAGACCCCGUGGAGCUUUACUGUAGCCUGAUAUUGAAUUUUGGUACAGUUUGUACAGGAUAGGCGGGAGCCUUUGAAACCGGAGCGCUAGCUUCGGUGGAGGCGCUGGUGGGAUACCGCCCUGACUGUAUUGAAAUUCUAACCUACGGGUCUUAUCGACCCGGGAGACAGUGUCAGGUGGGCAGUUUGACUGGGGCGGUCGCCUCCUAAAGUGUAACGGAGGCGCCCAAAGGUUCCCUCAGAAUGGUUGGAAAUCAUUCGUAGAGUGCAAAGGCAUAAGGGAGCUUGACUGCGAGACCUACAAGUCGAGCAGGGACGAAAGUCGGGCUUAGUGAUCCGGUGGUUCCGCAUGGAAGGGCCAUCGCUCAACGGAUAAAAGCUACCCCGGGGAUAACAGGCUUAUCUCCCCCAAGAGUCCACAUCGACGGGGAGGUUUGGCACCUCGAUGUCGGCUCAUCGCAUCCUGGGGCUGUAGUCGGUCCCAAGGGUUGGGCUGUUCGCCCAUUAAAGCGGUACGCGAGCUGGGUUCAGAACGUCGUGAGACAGUUCGGUCCCUAUCCGUCGUGGGCGUAGGAAAUUUGAGAGGAGCUGUCCUUAGUACGAGAGGACCGGGAUGGACGCACCGCUGGUGUACCAGUUGUUCUGCCAAGGGCAUAGCUGGGUAGCUAUGUGCGGAAGGGAUAAGUGCUGAAAGCAUCUAAGCAUGAAGCCCCCCUCAAGAUGAGAUUUCCCAUAGCGUAAGCUAGUAAGAUCCCUGAAAGAUGAUCAGGUUGAUAGGUUCGAGGUGGAAGCAUGGUGACAUGUGGAGCUGACGAAUACUAAUAGAUCGAGGACUUAACCAU